CUAAAUUAACGUCAAGGGUAGUGGAUAGGCAAGACAGUGGCUGCUGGUAGAGCAGUGGCAGGGAAGGAGGCCUUGUCUCCUCCCAGAACGAGAACUGUUGGCAUCACAAUGCCAGAAUUCCGCACAGUUGUAGCAGUCUGGGGUCAGACAGCCUAUGAUGGGAUGGAGAAGGGAAAGGAGGAGCAGGCACCAUACUGUGCAGUAGCCCAGGGGACUGUCAACUGCAUCUUAAUACAGUCCUUUAAGAUACCACUACAGAUAUUUCAUGCUUCUCAUGGGUCCUCAGAAUCCGUGCAGUUAGGAGAUGGCAAAUAGCACAGGAUGAAGAAGAUGUAGAAUCUACAUUAUUGUUGCACCAGUCCAUGACUUCAGGUUGUCAGCUCUUCCUAUUUCCCUGCUUCAUAUAAGGAAGGUCUGGUGAACUGCACUGAAGUUAGUGUUAUAUAGAUGGUCCCCCUGAGUGUAUGGAAGCAAAAUCAAUGGCAAACUUCAAUCCACACAAUCACUUCCUACGUGAGACACAGAAUUGGCUAUUACCUCACAGUGAAGGAAAUGGAAUUCUAAUGGUUUCAUAAGCAAUGGACAUACUUACACCCUUUUCUCUUCUGCAUGGAUAGGCAAAUAGGCAGAUGUUUAUGAACAGUUCUCUGCCACGUGGGAUUAUAUAUAUUCCCCUCUGGGAAGUGAAAAAGAACUGAUCCAAAGCUCACUGAAUCACAAAGAAAGAAUCCCAUCCAUGUCAGUGGAGUUUGCAUCAAUCCUGAAAUGUCAACAGAUGACCACUAAGUUACAGGGCUGCAAAAAUUCUAGCCUACAUCCAUCCUGGUCAUGGAAGGAGACAACUGAUGGUUGGUUGGGAACUCUCCAAGUGUUUCUGACACUCGGUUACAAACAUUGCAAGUAAAGGAAAGAGUAAAAGAAAGACUCCAGGGCUCCCGGAUGACAGCUGCCUUGACAAUGGCUAGAUGAGCAAGCAAGGAUACCAGAAGUGAAGCUGUGUGCAUCUCUUGCCUCUGUAAGGGAAAAAGGAACUCUUGGUCACAUCCCAACCAUGGAAAUAUCUCAAUAUUUUCAGUGCAUGAGAGAUAGAUACAAUAACAAAUAGCACAGUGAUUUUUACACCUAUGCUACAUAAUCAUUUAGCCACUUCUUCAGUUGCACAACAGAACUUUGCACUCUUUUGGAGUUUCAUUCUGCAGAGUGAAGAACAAGAGCAGUAGCUUUCAAUUAUUUUACAGGCACUGCAAUGUGGCAGCAAUGGAUUGCAGACAAUCAUGAGCUGAGUUUGAAACAGGCAGCUCUAGCACUUACAACAGGAUAAAGUGGCACAGGGAGCUCAGCACUUUAAUGCCAAGUAGGUUGUAUUUUGCCUCCCAAGCAACAUGGUCACAUGUGGAACUCCACAUAACCAUGGCUUCAAGCAUCCAGCUUUGCUAGCUUAUAUACCACUUUGCUGCAAUGAAGAGAUAUGGAAGCUACAAAGGAGGCCUAGCAAGGAGCAUUUCAUAUGCAGGCUUGAGGAUACUUAAAUAGAGUUGACUUCAAAUUGUUCUUUUGGGGAAAAAAAAAGACAACUAAAUCAGGAGAAAACAGGAUGUAUCUGAAUUGUUCUAACAAAUUCUUAAUGAUAAUUGAAAAUAUUUUAAGUUGAAACAACUCCUUUUCCUCUCCUGCUCCUUCAAGCUCUCUAAGGCUGUGUUUAGAAAACACUGAAGUCAAACUGACCACUUGGUAAAUGGGGGGUUCUGAAAUUAGUGAGGCUGAACCUCAGCUGAAGUUGUCUAAGCCAUUGGUUGCUGGCUUUGAAUUCGUUCUCAUAAAGUUGCUCACAGCAGCGACACAUUUGGAAAUGCAGAGAUGACUUAAGAAAAGGGUUAUAAAAGACUUUACUAAUGAAUGUGUGUCACAACUGCUUUGGCUCUUGUUCCCAUAGCAUACUUCCAACAAAAUCAAAUGUAGAUUCCUAAGGGCAUAAGUUGGAAGUCAUCCUGCCUCAAAGAGCUUGGACCUCUCUCUUAAGUAGGACAGAACUCUGCUGAGACCUCACGGAAGUAUUGACUGCAAAUGACUGUGGGCAACAAUUUCAAAGAACCUUCAGAGAUUUACUUGUAUAGUUAUUGUCUCUUAAGAGAGAGAGAGAGAGUUAAUAGGUACAGUUGCUUUAUUCAUGAAUCUCAGAAUUAAUUUUAAUCCAGCAUUCUAAUAAGUGUUCAAGGCAUUUUACUUCAUCGUUUUCAGGUCUUGUCCCCUAGACAAAAAGGUCUAUUUUUAACUUGUACCACUUCAAUCAAGUUACAACCUGAAAUUAGUAAUACAACUCAACCUACUAACUGGUGCAUGGAAUAGUUAAACAGAGGUCACAGUAAAUGCCAGCAGCACUUUCUGUAAAACAAAUACACAACAAGCAAAGACAUGACCAGUCAGUAAAUAAAGGUGAGUUGAAAUCAACUUUGUUGGAAAGGAAAAGUGUUAUAAUGAAAUUACAGUGCUUUGGAAGACUUAAAGUGAUGUCCACCAUAAAAGAUAAAAUUAAUUUACUGGAAAUAAACUUGUGAAUAUGAGUACCAUUUUGUGAAAGGCCAAGUUCUGACAUUUAGUAAAGCUGUAAAAAUGUUUUUGAAAGCAGCCCUUCAUUGUGAUUAUCACUGUUCUUAUGCAUUAAAAUUGAAAGAACUAAGAAAGACCAAAAAGGACUGAAAGAGUAAAAUAUUUUGCAAUUUCAAAGUAUUUGAUACAUUGAAGCUUUAAGAUGUUUUAAUACUCCUUGCUCUGCAAACAUGCUUCAGUUUGUUAAUAAAGAAAUGUUCUGAUACAAAGCAUCCACGAGGAUUAACAUGCAAAUAAAAUGCAUAUGACAAAUUA